UAUCAGACUUUAAGAUUCAUCACCUUAAAGGACGGAACUCUCAAAUGUAAUAUCUAUGGCAAUUCAAUGUGAGAAUGAGAAAGGAAAAUACAGAUGAUUAGUUCUGAUUACUUUGCCAGUUUGAGCUUGGUAUUUAAAGAGAGUCUUGCAUCAACCGAAUAGAUGACCAACUGACUAACAAUGGAAGAGGCCCAGAAGAUGAGUAGGAGAGGAAUCAAUAGGAACAGAACCAAGAGACCACCUAAACGUGCAUUUCCUGCUCCCUGAAUUCUCCCUGCUAUUGAAUUUAAGAAGUCUAC